rnacentral:rRNA from 1 species
AGGAUUAACGCUGGCGGCGUGCAUGAGACAUGCAAGUCGAACGGAUGACUCGGGCUUGCUCGAGUCGUUAGUGGCGGACGGCUGAGUAACGCGUAGGUGACUUGCCCUGAAGUGGGGAAUAACUGCCCGAAAGGGUGGCUAAUACCGCAUGUGGUGUGCGUUCAUUCGCACCAGUAAAGCCGCAAGGCGCUUCAGGAGAGGCCUGCGUCGAUUAGCUCGUGUGGGUAACGGCUCACCAAGGCGACGAUCGGUAGGUGGUCUGAGAGGACGAUCACCCAGACUGGGACUGAGACACGGCCAGACUCCUACGGGAGGCAGCAGUCGGGAAUUUUGCGCAAGUGGGCGUAAAGCCGUGACGCAGCAACGCCGCGUGAGGGACUGGAA